GAGGCGGUAUCCUUAAAGGAACUGCACUUGCAGCUUGAAAGCCAAUCUUAUUGGACAUUUGAAUAACGUUACACGAGAUGUUGGAUUCUGCUCUGAGCCUUACGGGACCGAGACAGAAGG
rfam:Paenibacillus ferrarius strain CY1 CY1_scaffold7, whole genome shotgun sequence.